rnacentral:rRNA from 1 species
GACGUAGGGCGCGAGCGUUGUCCGGAUUUAUUGGGCGUAAAGAGCUUGUAGGCGGUUUGUCGCGUCUGCCGUGAAAAUCCGAGGCUCAACCUCGGACUUGCGGUGGGUACGGGCAGACUAGAGUGUGGUAGGGGAGACUGGAAUUCCUGGUGUAGCGGUGAAAUGCGCAGAUAUCAGGAGGAACACCGAUGGCGAAGGCAGGUCUCUGGGCCACUACUGACGCUGAGAAGCGAAAGCAUGGGGAGCGAACAGG